rnacentral:lncRNA from 1 species
GGAGGGGGGGCGGGGCCGGACGCGAGCGCGCGGAGGCGGGGAGGGCGGGCGGCCGCCGCGGGGCAUUGUGGGUGGCUCCCUGUAGGUGUCCGGGCGCGGGGCAUUGUGGGUGGCCUCCAUUAGCCGUCCGGGCGCGGGGCAUUGUGGUGGCUCCUCUAGCCGUCGGGCGCGGGGCAUUGUGGGCGGCUCCCUGCAGCCGGCCGAGCGAGGGGCAGCAAAGAUUGCCGGAGCGAGACAAUGAGCCGUUCUCCAACCCUCUGGCCCCGGAUGGCCACGAGGUGGGACGGAUCCCCACUCCUUUCCACCAGUGAGUGAAAGGGUUCCUCGCCUGCUUUCUCUCCCCUCGGGGACCGCAGUGGGGGAGGCUGGAGAACUCCGGGGCCGGGGAUGGUGGAGACAAGAGGACCCUGUGUAUCACUCGUUUGAUCCAACUAGGUGUUUUUUUUUUGAUGGCACUCGUUAAGCGCUUACUAUGUGCCAGGCACUCUGUUGAGCUUCUGGGGUAAUAUUUAAUAGUUACGACGAUAUUCGUUAAGCGCCCACCGUUCUAAGAGCAGGGGAUCGACACAAGGUGUCCUUUCCGGUUGGACCCAGUCCCGGUCCCAGAUGAGGCUCACAGUCCUGAUCCCCAUUUACAAAAUGACGGUGACUCGAGGCCCAGAGAAGUGAAGUGACUGGCCCAGAGGUCACACGGCAGACAAGUGGCGGAGCCGGGAUUAGAACCCAUGACCUUUUGACUCCCGGGCCCUAUCCACUGCGCCAUUUACAG